rnacentral:rRNA from 1 species
CUUCGGGUUGUAAGCCACUUUUGUCAGGGAAGAAAAGGUUUCGGAUAAAUACCCAGAACUGAUGACGGUACCUGAAGAAUAAGCACCGGCUAACUACGUGCCAGCAGCCGCGGUAAUACGUAGGGUGCAAGCGUUAAUCGGAAUUACUGGGCGUAAAGCGUGCGCAGGCGGUUCGGAAAGAAAGAUGUGAAAUCCCAGGGCUCAACCUUGGAACUGCAUUUUUAACUACCGGACUAGAGUAUGUCAGAGGGGGGUGGAAUUCCACGUGUAGCAGUGAAAUGCGUAGAUAUGUGGAGGAACACCGAUGGCGAAGGCAGCCCCCUGGGAUAAUACUGACGCUCAUGCACGAAAGCGUGGGGAGCAAACAGGAUUAGAUACCCUGGUAGUCCACGCCCUAAACGAUGUCAACUAGCUGUUGGGCCCUUCGGGGCUUAGUAGCGCAGCUAACGCGUGAAGUUGACCGCCUGGGGAGUACGGUCGCAAGAUUAAAACUCAAAGGAAUUGACGGGGACCCGCACAAGCGGUGGAUGAUGUGGAUUAAUUCGAUGCAACGCGAAAAACCUUACCUACCCUUGACAUGUCUGGAAUCCUGAAGAGAUUUAGGAGUGCUCGCAAGAGAACCGGAACACAGGUGCUGCAUGGCUGUCGUCAGCUCGUGUCGUGAGAUGUUGGGUUAAGUCCCGCAACGAGCGCAACCCUUGUCAUUAGUUGCUACAUUUAGUUGAGCACUCUAAUGAGACUGCCGGUGACAAACCGGAGGAAGGUGGGGAUGACGUCAAGUCCUCAUGGCCCUUAUGGGUAGGGCUUCACACGUCAUACAAUGGUCGGGACAGAGGGUUGCCAAGCCGCAAGGUGGAGCCAAUCUCACAAACCCGAUCGUAGUCCGGAUUGCAGGCUGCAACUCGCCUGCAUGAAGUCGGAAUCGCCAGUAAUCGCGGAUCAGCGCGCGA